UCUACGGGUGGCAGCAGUGAGGAAUAUUGGUCAAUGGCCGAGAGGCUGAACCAGCCAAGUCGCGUGAGGGAAGAAUGUCCUAUGGAUUGUAAACCUCUUUUGUCAGGGAGCAAAGUCACCCACGUGUGGGGGUUGGAGAGUACCUGAAGAAAAAGCAUCGGCUAACUGCGUGCCAGCAGCCGCGGUAAUACGGAGGAUGCGAGCGUUAUCCGGAUUUGUUGGGUUAAAAGUGUGCGUAGGCGGGUUAGUAAGUCAGCGUUAAAAUCGUGGAGCUCAACUCCAUCCAGCCGUUGAAACUGAUGAACUUGAGUGGGCGAGAAGUAUGCGGAAUGCGUGGUGUAGCAGUGAAAUGCGUAGAUAUCACGCAGAACUCCGAUUGCGAAGGCAGCAUACCGGCGCCCGACUGACGCUGAAGCACGAAGGCGUGGGUAUCGAACAGGAUUAGAUACCCGUGUAGUC
rnacentral:rRNA from 1 species